UACGUAGGGUGCGAGCGUUAAUCGGAAUUACUGGGCGUAAAGCGUGCGCAGGCGGUUUUGUAAGACAGGCGUGAAAUCCCCGAGCUCAACUUGGGAAUUGCGCUUGUGACUGCAAGGCUAGAGUGUGUCAGAGGGGGGUAGAAUUCCACGUGUAGCAGUGAAAUGCGUAGAGAUGUGGAGGAAUACCGAUGGCGAAGGCAGCCCCCUGGGACAUGACUGACGCUCAUGCACGAAAGCGUGGGGAGCAAACGGG
rnacentral:rRNA from 1 species